rnacentral:rRNA from 1 species
AAUGAACGCUGGCGGCAGGCCUAACACAUGCAAGUCGAACGGGUCCUUCGGGACUAGUGGCGGACGGGUGAGUAACGCGUGGGAACGUGCCCUUUGGUUCGGAAUAGCCCUGGGAAACUGGGAGUAAUACCGGUUGUGCCCUUCGGGGGAAAGAUUUAUCGCCAAAGGAUCGGCCCGCGUUGGAUUAGGUAGUUGGUGGGGUAAUGGCCUACCAAGCCGACGAUCCAUAGCUGGUUUGAGAGGAUAAACAGCCACACUGGGACUGAGACACGGCCCAGACUCCUACGGGAGGCAGCAGUGGGGAAUCUUAGACAAUGGGAGAAACCCUGAUCUAGCCAUGCCGCGUGAUCGAUGAAGGCCUUAGGGUUGUAAAGAUCUUUCAGAUGGGAAGAUAAUGACGGUACCAUCAGAAGAAGCCCCGGCUAACUCCGUGCCAGCCGCCGCGGUAAAAC